rnacentral:lncRNA from 1 species
UUCAAAGCGGAAGUAAGGAUGUGUCACAUCCGGCAGCCCGUGGCCUCGGAGGACUGACGGCUGGGGUUCCUCACCAUGACACCUGACCAGUUUUGGGGCCCUCCAUCCUCCACUGACCUGAGGCUGUUCCCAUGAGAUCAAGGCAAUUUUGGAAGACUGAAAAAAAAAAAAAAAAAAAAAAAAAACAAAGAAAACCUCGGCGUGGCAUACUCAAAUCAUCUAGUGAACAAUGACAGAAUCCGACCUCCUAGUUAUUUCUUUUCAGUUUGCCGGUGGGUAAAGAAAUUCAGCCCUGAGAAAAGAAUGCUGCUUUUAAAAUUAUUCCUUCCUGCUUUUCUUCAUCCAAUGAAUAUACACUGCUUUGAUUACAGUACGGCUUUGCUUAAGCUGUUGACAAUGAUUUUUCUUUUAAGAAAAAACCCUAGGGAGAAAAUAGCCAAAAAAAUUACAUGAAAUAUUCAAAGACCAAGAAUAAAGGAAACAAAAAUCCGCCAUCAGAAUUUAAACUUCA